CCUACGGGAGGCAGCAGUGAGGAAUAUUGGACAAUGGGCGCAAGCCUGAUCCAGCCAUGCCGCGUGCAGGAAGACGCAUCUAUGGUGUGUAAACUGCUUUUGUACAGGAAGAAACACUCCCUCGUGAGGGAGCUUGACGGUACUGUAAGAAUAAGGAUCGGCUAACUCCGUGCCAGCAGCCGCGGUAAUACGGAGGAUCCAAGCGUUAUCCGGAAUCAUUGGGUUUAAAGGGUCCGUAGGCGGUUUAAUAAGUCAGUGGUGAAAUCUGGUCGCUCAACGAUCAAACGGCCAUUGAUACUGUUAGACUUGAAUUAUAAGGAAGUAACUAGAAUAUGUAGUGUAGCGGUGAAAUGCUUAGAUAUUACAUGAAAUACCAAUUGCGAAGGCAGGUUACUACUUAUGGAUUGACGCUGAUGGACGAAAGCGUGGGGAGCGAACAGGAUUAGAUACCCUGGUAGUCCACGCCGUAAACGAUGGAUACUAGCUGUUGGGCGUCAAGUUCAGUGGCUAAGCGAAAGUGAUAAGUAUCCACCUGGGGAAGUACGUUCGCGAAGAAUUGGAAACUCAAGGAAUUGACGG
rnacentral:rRNA from 1 species